GGAUAUAAAUGCUAGGAAACUUUCCACUCAAUGAAUCAAUUAAAUCCCUAGCUUCACUAGCAGGUAGGUGAUAGAAGGAUCCUCUAGAGGUUAUAUUCAAGGUUUGCUUAUUUUCCCUACUAAGGCACUCAAAAAAGUGAAUUAGAAGAACUUCUUCUAGAAUAGAAAGCUUUGGCCAGUGAGAGUAAGGUUAAUAAAGUGGUCCCAUGGUUUGCCAAGAGAUUCUUCUUCGAGUUGUCUAAAAGAAAUAAUCUCACGCCGAAGUACCGCCACUUUAGAGAUUGGAAAAUAUUUAAAAAGAAAACUAUUAUAUAACUCCUUCCAAUCUCCAUGAACACUCCCUACUUUGAGUUUGUACGAACGUCUAGCUUUUCCUGUUAAAGAGAACGGAAAGAGCUUCCAUUUAAGGGUCUCAUAGGACAUGCCUUGAAUGCGAAGGAGGUCACAGACACGAUAAACUCUCUUAGGUGUGUGUAUGGGUUUUCCUCACCUUCUCCUGAGAAAGGUUGUUUUUGAACAAAUUCUAUGUAUUCGGGGUCUAUCUCAAAACUAGAUGCUAUGAUAGGCUUUGAAGAUUUUGGUGGUUCGAGAUGUGUGCCCGUAGGUCUACGAAACUAAUAGAUAGACAUGUUUGCAUUCAUGAUAGACCAGAAAUCAAGGAUUAGAUAAGAAGAAAGAAUAGCAGAGAUGAGGCAAAGGAUAAAAGCAAAUAUAUAUAUUUUUUUAUUUUUUUAUUUUUUUAGAAAAUGAUUAAGCUAGUUCGUAGUCAACUCAGCAACCGUCUCCCCAGCAGCAGCGCCAAAAAUGCUUGUUGACACUUGCUAACACCACUUGAAUACUAGGUUGUCAUCCCUAGCAUGGCACUAUAGUGUACUAUGGUAUUUAUACGCACACAGAUAAAUCCGCAAGCGCACGGAUACCAUUGUAGCUUUUACCGAGUUAAAGGUUUUAUCAUAUCCACAGGGAAACGGGAGAACUGAUCUACGCUCUAACUUAACCUAGAUAGAUAGGUAGGUGUAGAUAGGAAAGAUGGUAGAAUUGAAUAAGAACAAUAUUAAAGGUAAGAUAACAAUGGGUGGUAAUAUGGGAAUAGAGAGUAGAGCAAUCUAGUAUAUGGGCGAUGGUAGGAGAAUAGAGAGGAUAACUAUGGUUUCUCUACUUCAAAGGGGUAUGUCUAUGUCUGGGACGAACCACAUGAUAAGAAUACACCACAAAGGAUGCUUAUCCAUAGGCCAAUAAACCCUACCCAUCCUGCUAACAGGAGGUGGACUACAAGGGACCAACGUAAGUGUCACCUACGCGGCCUACCACACGAUCCGGCUAGACAGGGGAUAUCCACAAGUAAUCUAGGUCUAAGCACCUCGCUUACACCUAUACUACAACUCUCACCUAUAGCGUCCUAUAGGUUAAAGUACUCAAAAGAGUUGUGAACCAUAACAUACAUGGAUAGUAAUUGCAUAAUGAAAUAAGAAGUAGAUUACCAGAGUCAUCACAUGAGCAAGCUUGAUUAGAACUUGAUCAUGGCGAAGUACAACCGGAGGAAGAACCGACAGGCCGGCCUCUCCUCCAAUCCUCCCUUGCUCUCCAUCUCGCUACUAUCU
rnacentral:lncRNA from 1 species